GAAAUAAUGGUUUGGACCAAGGCAGUAUGUAAAAAUGAAUGAUAAUUGUCAUAUUCAUUCUGGACUAUAUUCAAAUGUGGAAGCAUAGAAUUUUCUCCACUUCUGUAUCUCAACUGACCAAACUAACAUCUUUAUGCGAAACAAUAGUAUUUGGAUAGGUGACCUCCAAUACCAGGGUUGGGCUGCAAAGGCAGUGUGAUUAGCACAAACCACAAAUGUUCGACAUUUGUUAUUUUUAAAUCCCAGAAAAUCCUGUCUCUUUUUUGUCAACAGAUCUGACAACUUAUGAUUCAGUUAAACACUUUUUACUUCUGAAUACGUCGCUUCAAGACAACAGCAUCACACACAGCGUUGCGAGCUGCUAUUUUGGGGACUCCAGCAGAUGUGAUCAAAACCCGAAUAAUGAAUCAACCGAGAAAUGAACGGGGAAGGGGACUGCUGUAUAAAUCUUCCACUGAUUGCUUGCUUCAGGCCAUUCAAGGUGAAGGAGU